UACUGUGUAACCCCUACCUGCUUCUUAAUGACCUAUCUCUGUAUUGGUAGCUAGCUGUAACAAGUGCGGGCUGGCCUGGUAGCUAGCUGUAGCUAGCUGUAACACGUGCGGGCUGUAGCUAGCUGUAACACGUGCGGGCUGGUAGCUAGCUGUAACACGUGCGGGCUGGUAGCUAGCUGUAACACGUGCGGGCUGGUAGCUAGCUGUAGCUAGCUGUAACACGUGCGGGCUGCUAGCUGUAACACGUGCGGGCUGGUAGCUAGCUGUAGCUAGCUGUAACACGUGCGGGCUGGUAGCUGGCUCUAGCUAGCUGUAGCUUGCUGUAGCUAGCUGUAGCUAGCUGUAACACGUGCAGGCUGGUAGCUGGCUGUAGCUAGCUGUAACACGUGCGGGCUGGUAGCUGGUAGCAGCACUGUGGUGGGUGACAUGCAGAGAAGCCCAGAACAGCCUGCUCUGAACAUGUUGUCACUUCACACCUCCUUCCAAAACGGUCGCAGGUUUGAUGCCUUCCUCCUGAGAAGCGUUGGCUGAGCCCAGACAGUUCAGUUGC
ensembl:lncRNA